GAUUAACGCUAGCGGCAGGCAUAAUACAUGCAAGUUGAACGGCAGCACAGGUAGCACUACUGGGUGGCGAGUGGCGCACGGGUGCGUAACACGUAUGCAACCUACCCUAUACAGGCGAAUAACCUUUAGAAAUGAGGGCUAAUACGCCGUAGUAUUACAGAUGGGCAUCUAUUUGUAAUUAAAGAUUUAUCGGUAUAGGAUGGGCAUGCGUCCCAUUAGUUAGUUGGUAAGGUAACGGCUUACCAAGACGAUGAUGGGUAGGGGAUCUGAGAGGACUUACCCCCACACUGGUACUGAGACACGGACCAGACUCCUACGGGAGGCAGCAGUAAGGAAUAUUGGGCAAUGGCCGCGAGGCUGACCCAGCCAUGCCGCGUGCAGGAAGACGGCCUUAUGGGUUGUAAACUGCUUUUAUACGGGAAUAAUAGAGUGUACGCGUACAUUUAUGCAAGUAUCGUAUGAAUAAGCAUCGGCUAACUCCGU
rnacentral:rRNA from 1 species